UUCUCAUCCUCGGGUCGACGCUCAUCGUGUUCAUAGUCUCCGAGCCUCUGAGCCUGUGCAGCCCCCCGGGGUGCGGGGCCGCAUACCCCGGGCCCCGUGGGCGCCCACGCAGGGGCGCCUGGCCGGCCAGUGGCCGUGCGCUGGAAUUUGAGAGACGGCCGAGUGGAGUCUGUUGAACCCGGGCUGCUCUGCUUUCUGUCCCGAGGCUCUUCUGACUUUGCCAACCCGAGGCCGGCAGUAUCUCUCUCAGCUCACACCAUGCACAGCUUUGACGUGUUGUAUUAAUGUGGGGCUUCCCUGGAGGUGCAGUGGUUAAGAAUCUGCCUGCCAAUGCAGGGGACACGGGUUCAAGCCCUGGUCUGGGAAGAUCCCAUAUGCCACGGAGCAACUAAGCCCGUGCACCACACCUACUGAGCCUGCGCUCUAGAGCCCGCAAGCCACAACUAUUGAGCUCACGUGCCACAACUACUGAAGCCCUCUCACCUAGAGCCCGUGCUCCGCAACGAAAGAAGCCACUGCAAUGAGAAGCACACACACUGCAACAAAGAGUAGCCCCCACUCACCACAACUAGAGAAAGCCUGUGUGCAGCAACGAAGACCCAACACAACCAAAAAUAAAAAUAAAGAAAAUAAUUUAUAAAAAACAGAAUGAGAAUGUUCUCAUUCUUACAAAAAAUAUUUAAUGUAUGUAUUUAUGUCCACAUAAUGUAAAUUAUAGACCCCCCCUCUGUUUAUAAGUGAACAGAGAUUUCAUGAUGUAGAGAAAUGUCAUGUAGAUGUACAUUUGCAUGGUGCAUUGGGAUUAACUCAAGGCAUCAAGCUUUAGGCAUCACUGAGAGUCCUUCUGCGUGGAGGUGGAUGAGAAGUCUUCAGCUGGUGAGGAAAAUGGCAUCCAGUCCAAGGAAUAUGAAGACUCUAAUCUUAUUCUGGUUCUUCUGCACUAGUAAUAGUCCUUCAAGCCAGCAACUCAAUGUUUCGGACCUAAAUUCUAAAAACAAACUUGCCCAUUUUAAAAUCAAGUUAUUCACUUUUUUGCUACUGAGUUGUAGGAGUUACUUAUAUCUUUUGGAAUUAACACCCAUCAGACAUAUGCUUUGCAAGUAUUUUCUUUCAUUCUAUUGGUUGUUUUUUUUUUCUCUGUUGAUGGGCCAAAGACUUGAAUAGAUAUUUCUCCAAAGAAGACGUACACAUGUCAAAAGAUGCUCAGUGUCAGUAAUCAUCAGGCAAAUACAAAUCAGAAUGCAAUAACUAUCACCCUGUUGAUGGGAAUGCAAAAUAGUGCAGCCACUGUGGAAAACAGUAUGUAGCUGCCUCAAAAAAUUAAAAAUAAGACUAUCAUAGGAUCCGGCAAUUCCCCUUCUUGGUGUUUAUCCAAAAGGAUUGGAAUCAGGAUCUUGGAGUGCUACCUGCACUCCCAUGUUCACUGCAGCACUAGCCACAGUAGCCGAGAUAUGAGAACUGGUUGAAGAUAAUGUGAUAUAAACAUACAACAGAAUAUUAUUCAGCCUUAAAAAGGAUGAAAUCCUACAAUAUGUGACAACAUGGAUAAAUGUUGAGGGUAUUAUGCUAAAAAUAAACCAAAAGACAAAUAUUGCAUAA